rnacentral:sRNA from 1 species
AAGGCGUUUUGAGAUUCAUAGGUGAAGGUCAAGCCGCUUAUCGUCUCCCCCCUUGGGGGGGAGAUGGCCGGCAG